UUACAACACGUCUUAUAUAAGACUAUCUUACGAUGAGACGGCUUUAAUAGAAUUUAAUGGGUCAAAGCUAAAAAUAAAACUCAUUUUACCUCAAAACUAACCGACAUACACCUUCCCUCACAUUGAAAACCCACGGCACCCCUCCCUUCCCUCUCUUUCUCUCAUCUCUUCUCUCUCUCGCUUCCCUCUCCCUCACGGCGCAGAAGCCCAGUACCACCAGUCACACCUUCGCUCCUUCAUAACAAGCAGCAGUCGGCUGCUUCGUGAGCCACUAGCAGGAGCAGUAGCCGCACGUGGUGGUUCCUCCACCAUCCAACGUGGUUCCUUGGUCUCUACCACCACAUCUACAACUUGUUCUUCACCCCUUUAAUAGUUUCACCUUUUUACUUUCAUUGAAUCUUUUGUGGGUAAGAGUUUAGUUGAUGAAUUGAAGUUCAAGAUUGCAAGGUCCUUCAAUGGUGGUUGAGGAGAUGAUAUCAUCGAAGAACCCUUCUAGUUGAUAGCUGGAUUCGUUACCUUGAAGCGACAUCGUCGUCUGAUUACAGAUCGGAACCGGUCGGGAACGAUGGGUUAGCGGUGUUGAAUAGCAUUCCAAGGAUGUAUAUUGAGUUGAGCACGUAGGAAUUUGUAGAUUUGUAUUAGGAUUUUGGAUAAAUGUAUAUUUGUUUUGGCUGUGCUGGUUAUAUCGGACUUGUAGAGAAUUGUAUGAUUAUCUUGUGUAUUAGUUAGAUAUUGGUUUUGGGAUUUAGCUGAGUUAGUCACGUUGAAGAGCUUGUGACCCCUUUGCUUGA